AGAAUCAACGCUGGCGGCGUGCCUAACACAUGCAAGUCGAACGCGGUUACCCCCGCAAGGGGUAACUGAGUGGCGAACGGGUGAGUAACACGUGGGUGACCUGCCUUCGAGUGGGGGAUAACAUCCCGAAAGGGGUGCUAAUACCGCAUGACAUCCUGCCUUUAAAGAGGUGGAGAUUAAAGCUGGGGAUCGUAAGACCUGGCGCUUGAAGAGGGGCCCGCGUCCGAUUAGCUAGUUGGUGGGGUAACGGCCUACCAAGGCGACGAUCGGU
rnacentral:rRNA from 1 species